rnacentral:rRNA from 1 species
GACGAACGCUGGCGGCGUGCUUAACACAUGCAAGUCGAACGGAAAGGCCCUGCUUUUGUGGGGUGCUCGAGUGGCGAACGGGUGAGUAACACGUGAGUAACCUGCCCUUGACUUUGGGAUAACUUCAGGAAACUGGGGCUAAUACCGGAUAGGAGCUCCUGCUGCAUGGUGGGGGUUGGAAAGUUUCGGCGGUUGGGGAUGGACUCGCGGCUUAUCAGCUUGUUGGUGGGGUAGUGGCUUACCAAGGCUUUGACGGGUAGCCGGCCUGAGAGGGUGACCGGCCACAUUGGGACUGAGGUACGGCCCAGACUCCUACGGGGGGCAGCAGUGGGGAAUAUUGCACAGUGGGCGGAAGCCUGAUGCAGCAACGCCGCGUGCGGGAUGACGGCCUUCGGGUUGUAAACCGCUUUCGACUGUGACGAAGCGUGAGUGACGGUAAUGGGUAAAGAAGCACCGGCUAACUACGUG